rnacentral:lncRNA from 1 species
AAGAUCGAGAGGUGACAAGAAGAAGAACACAUCUUUUUUUUUUUUACUUGUAUCUACCUUAAAACUUAACUUUACAACGUGGAAUGUGAUCGGAUGUUGACAAUUCGUAAUUAACUAGUUACUCUUUUUUUUUUAAGUACAUGCAUUUGUAAAAUAAUGGAAAAUACUAUAGGAUAAGACUUAAAAUUUUUAAAAAAUCAAUCCAGUGGUACGUAGUCCGUCCAGUUAACACCUUCGUUAUAAACAAGAGGCUAU